rnacentral:rRNA from 1 species
AUUGAACGCUGGCGGCAGGCUUAACACAUGCAAGUCGAGCGAGCGGCGGACGGGUGAGUAAUGUCUGGGAAACUGCCUGAUGGAGGGGGAUAACUACUGGAAACGGUGGCUAAUACCGCAUACCAUCAGAUGUGCCCAGAUGGGAUUAGCUAGUAGGUGGGGUAAUGGCUCACCUAGGCGACGAUCCCUAGCUGGUCUGAGAGGAUGAACAGCCACACGGGAACUGAGACACUGUCCAGACUCGUACGGGAGGCAGCAGUGGGUAAUAUUGAACAAUGGGCGCAAGACUGAUGCAGCCAUGCCGCGUGUGUGAAGAAGGCCUUCGGGUUGUAAAGCACUUUCAGCGAGGAGGCGUUACUCGCAGAAGAAGCACCGGCUAACUCCGUGCCAGCAGCCGCGGUAAUAC